rnacentral:rRNA from 1 species
CGUUGAAAAGUGAGCGGAUGAACUGAGGGUAGCGGAGAAAUUCCAAUCGAACCUGGAGAUAGCUGGUUCUCUCCGAAAUAGCUUUAGGGCUAGCCUCAAGUGAUGAUUAUUGGAGGUAGAGCACUGUUUGGACGAGGGGCCCCUCUCGGGUUACCGAAUUCAGACAAACUCCGAAUGCCAAUUAAUUUAACUUGGGAGUCAGAACAUGGGUGAUAAGGUCCGUGUUCGAAAGGGAAACAGCCCAGACCACCAGCUAAGGUCCCAAAAUAUAUGUUAAGUGGAAAAGGAUGUGGCGUUGCCCAGACAACUAGGAUGUUGGCUUAGAAGCAGCCAUCAUUUAAAGAGUGCGUAAUAGCUCACUAGUCGAGUGACACUGCGCCGAAAAUGUACCGGGGCUAAACAUAUUACCGAAGCUGUGGAUUGUCCUUUGGACAAUGGUAGGAGAGCGUUCUAAGGGCGUUGAAGCAUGAUCGUAAGGACAUGUGGAGCGCUUAGAAGUGAGAAUGCCGGUGUGAGUAGCGAAAGACGGGUGAGAAUCCCGUCCACCGAUUGACUAAGGUUUCCAGAGGAAGGCUCGUCCGCUCUGGGUUAGUCGGGUCCUAAGCUGAGGCCGACAGGCGUAGGCGAUGGAUAACAGGUUGAUAUUCCUGUACCACCUAUAAUCGUUUUA